GACAGAGGCCUCAAGCGUUAGGCGGAAUCACUGGGCUUAAAGCGUGUGUAGGCGGAUCGUUAAGUGUCUUGUGAAAUCCCACGGCUCACCCGUGGAACUGCUGGGCAUACUGGCGAUCUUGGGCCAACUAGGGGCAACUGGAACAAGCGGUGGAGCGGUGAAAUGCGUAGAUAUCGCUUGGAACGCCGAAGGUGAAAACAGGCUGCUGGGGUUGUGCCGACGCUGAGACACGAAAGCCAGGGGAGCAAACGGG
rnacentral:rRNA from 1 species